rnacentral:rRNA from 1 species
UACGUAGGGUGCGAGCGUUGUCCGGAAUUACUGGGCGUAAAGAGCUCGUAGGUGGUUUGUCGCGUUGUUCGUGAAAUCUCACGGCUUAACUGUGAGCGUGCGGGCGAUACGGGCAGACUAGAGUACUGCAGGGGAGACUGGAAUUCCUGGUGUAGCGGUGGAAUGCGCAGAUAUCAGGAGGAACACCGGUGGCGAAGGCGGCAUCCUGGACCGACACUGACGCUGAGGAGCGAAAGCCAGGGGAGCAAACGGG